UGGGGAAUAUUGCGCAAUGGGCGAAAGCCUGACGCAGCCACGCCGCGUGUGUGAUUGAAGGCCUUCGGGUCGUAAAGCACUGUCGGGAGGGACGAAGAUCUGACGGUACCUCCCAAGAAAGCACCGGCUAACCCUGUGCCAGCAGCCGCGGUAAUACAGGGGGUGCAAGCGUUGCUCGGAAUUACUGGGCGUAAAGCGUGCGCAGGCGGCUUGACAAGUCGGGGGUGAAAACCCGGGGCUCAACCCCGGAAUUGCCUCCGAAACUGUCAGGCUUGAGUACGAGAGAGGGUCGCGGAAUUCUUGGUGUAGAGGUGAAAUUCGUAGAUAUCAGGAAGAACACCAGUGGCGAAAGCGGCGACCUGGCUCGAUACUGACGCUCAUGCACGAAAGCGUGGGGAGCAAACAGG
rnacentral:rRNA from 1 species